CAAUUAAGAUGGGGUAGGCACACUGGUGGUUGUGGGCCCCAUCUCCGGUUCGACACAUCUGCAGGGUGACAUUAUUUGCCAGGGUCGUGAAGGCAUGUGAGUCUACGACUUCCCCACGUCCCAGCACACAUGACACUCUUAGGCAGCGCCAGAGCGACAUGCAGGGGGGUAACGAGAGCCUGAGGGACACCAACCUGGACCUCGUCGUCCUUGCGGAUGGGCACGGAGCGGACGCUGUACUUCUGUCGCAGCUCCUUGGAGAGUGGGGAAGACAUGAUCUUCCUGCGCACGUGCGAGGGCGCACUGAAGUGGCGUUUGCGGUUUUUGCCGCAGUCCGAGACUCUGAGCGCGCAAGGCCGGAAGUGAGGGCUUCCUGGCCCCGCCAGCGUACAAAGGAAGCGGAGCCCCAUUCCUGUCGGAGCGAGACUGCGUGGCGCCCCCUGCGACUUGGGGUGGGAUCGCAGUGCCUCUUUCCAAGGGGCCCAUUUCAGGGCUGGGCGGCUUUGGAGGUCCCGCCAGGACCCACAAAGAGUUGGCACCGCCGCGGAGAACGGGCAUACUUCUGUGGGGCCUGCAAUAGAGGCCUACUGGUGUUUUAAAAAUAGGCACACCAGAGUCUCUUUCUUAUCCCAAACUUUUUCUUUGCCUCUUGUUACCCUCUGCUGAGGUGAUUUAGAUGUUAAAUAUUAGUUGUUAGAUGCUUUGGGCAUUCAUGAUCCAAACGCAAUCCGCUGACUUGCUCCUUCGAAAUCCCUGAGAAGCUUGCUCAAAAGGCAAAUUUUUGUGAUCCAUCACAGGCCUACGAAACCAGGCAAUGGUAGGCCCAGGUUUUAAAGCAAGCACUCCCCUCCUCCCGCCCAACCAAAGAUUUUAAGGUGUAACGUUUGGAGAUCGUGAGAACCAACCACCUGGUCUUGCAAAACUUGCCCCCAGUUUUUUAGCCCUGCUGGGUGAUGUAGGAAAGACCUUAGGUUCCAAGCCGACGGCCAAUAAAGAAUUCUUGAGAUGUC